rnacentral:lncRNA from 1 species
AGGUAGUGGUGAUGAAUAGCUGGACAAGAUAAUUAUCCUUAUUGUUGAUUGGGUGCCAUAGCUGUCCAUGGCCCUAUACAGCUGGCACCAGGGAAAUGCCAUGUUGAAGUUUGGUGCCAACCCACAAUAGACCCUGGUUCUCUCUCCUCAACCCUGGUGAUGGGAAAUGGAAUUCCCUGAUUAAAUUCUCUCCAGCCUCUUGGUCAGUGGAGGGGUAAGGCCCAGAGUCAGGAUGGGAGUUGCAGGUGGAGGGUGACUGCCGCAGCGGGGGAGCUGCCAGAUUUCUGGGCAACCGUUGGAUCUGCAGGUCUGUCCUUGGCCUGCCUCUGAUCUCUAGAGAGGAGAGCAUCCCAGCAGGGUGAUCCGAGAGGAAAGAGCCUGCAACUUCGCCAACCUCCCAGCUGCAAGCUAGGUGCUUGCCACGCGCCCUCGUCUUGCGUCAGCGAGUUCCAAGUCCCUCGUGGCGUGAACUCCGUACCCCAGCACUGGAGAGGAGUGCCGGGCGCAGGAUCAAACACGGAGCCGAGUGUCAGGCGCCGGCGUUUGAUUCUGAAAGGCUCCUUUGAUGGCCAGAGAGAGGGAGAAUCAGUCUGCACUUAGCUCCUUCUCAUCCUCUGUAUCUCAGGUCACUCGCUCUUGCCCCGGA